GGGACAGUCGGGGCCAUUUGUAUUCAAACGACAGAGGUGAAAUUCUUGGACCCGUUUGAAGACAAACUACUGCGAAAGCAUUUGCCCAAGAAUGUUUUCAUUAAUCAAGAACGAAAGUUAGAGGUUCGAAGGCGAUUAGAUACCGCCCUAGUUCUAACCAUAAACGAUGCCAGCUAGCGAUCUGCUGACGUUUUUUUUGUAGACUCAGCAGGAAGCUUCCGGGAAACCAAAGCAUUGGGUUCCAGGGGAAGUAUGGUUGCAAAGCUGAAACUUAAAGGAAUUGACGGAAGGGCACCACCAGGAGUGGAGCCUGUGGCUUAAUUUGACUCAACACGGGAAAUCUCACCAGGCCCGGACACUGGAAGGAUUGACAGAUUGAUAGCUCUUUCUUGAUUCGGUGGGUGGUGGUGCAUGGCCGUUCUUAGUUGGUGGAGUGAUUUGUCUGGUUAAUUCCGAUAACGAACGAGACUCUGUCCUGCUAAAUAGUGUCCGCCUCUCUUUUGGGCGGACAAUUCUUCUUAGAGGGACUGGCGACACUUAGUCGCACGAGAUUGAGCAAUAACAGGUCUGUGAUGCCCUUAGAUGUUCUGGGCCGCACACGCGCUACACUGAAUAGAUCAACGUGUUCCCCCUGUCCGAGAGGACCGGGUAAACCGCUGAACCCUAUUCGUGGCUAGGGAUCGGGGCUUGCAAUUGUUCCCCGUGAACCAGGAAUUCCCAGUAGGCGCAAGUCAUAAGCUUGUGUCGAUUACGUCCCUGCCCUUUGUACACACCGCCCGUCGCUACUACCGAUUGAACGUUUUAGUGAGGUCCUCGGACUGUUUGGUAGGCGGAUUGCUCUGCCUGCCUGGCGGGAAGACGACCAAA
rnacentral:rRNA from 1 species